AGGUAAAUUGUUGAGAUGGAUGAAAGGUGUAUCUAUGGGUACUAUUAUGCAUACUUGUGUAUAUGUUUAAAUUUUUCCACAUUACAUCUCCAGAACCUGAUUACUUCUCACCACUUCUAUGCUAUAACCCUAGUCCAAGUCAUGAAGACUUCUCUGCAUUAGUUACAACAGCCUCUGAACAAGAUGCUCUCUUUCUUUCCUUGCCCCGCUACAAUCCAUUCUCCUUAGUCCUUUCAAAACAGAAGCCAGAUUAUCUCACUCCUUUACUCAAAAUCCUGUAAUGAUUCCCAUCUCAAAGUAAAAUUCUACAAUAUCAGACAGUGGCUAUGGCUGUUCUUCACAGUUCUUAA
rnacentral:lncRNA from 1 species